UACGGGGGGGGCAAGCGUUGUUCGGAAUUACUGGGCGUAAAGCGCACGUAGGCGGCUUUGUAAGUUAGAGGUGAAAGCCCGGGGCUCAACCCCGGAAUUGCCUUUAAGACUGCAUCGCUUGAACACGGGAGAGGUGAGUGGAAUUCCGAGUGUAGAGGUGAAAUUCGUAGAUAUUCGGAAGAACACCAGUGGCGAAGGCGGCUCACUGGACCGUUGUUGACGCUGAGGUGCGAAAGCGUGGGGAGCAAACAGG
rnacentral:rRNA from 1 species